UUCCGGUUGAUCCCGCCGGACCUGACUGCUAUCGGAUUGAUACUAAGCCAUGCGAGUCAUUGUAGCAAUACAAGGCAUACGGCUCAGUAACGCGUAGUCAAUCUAACCUAUGGACGGGGAUAACCUCGGGAAACUGAGAAUAAUACCCGAUAGAACAUUAUGCCUGGAAUGGUUUAUGUUUCAAAUAAUUUAUUGCCGUAGGAUGGGACUGCGGCCUAUCAGUUUGUUGGUGAGGUAAUGGCCCACCAAGACUAUUACAGGUACGGGCUCUGAGAGGAGUAGCCCGGAGAUGGGUACUGAGACACGGACCCAGGCCCUAUGGGGCGCAGCAGGCGAGAAAACUUUGCAAUGUGCGAAAGCACGACAAGGUUAAUCCGAGUGGUUUCUGCUAAAGGAACCUUUUGUUAGUCAUAGAACCACUAAUGAAUAAGGGGUGGGCAAGUUCUGGUGUCAGCCGCCGCGGUAAAACCAGCACCUCAAGUGGUCAGGAUGAUUAUUGGGCCUAAAGCAUCCGUAGCCUGCCUUGUUAGUUUUCGGUUAAAUCCAUACGCUCAACGUAUGGGCUGCCGGGAAUACUGCAAAGCUAGGGAGUGGGAGAGGUAGACGGUACUCGGUAGGAAGGGGUAAAAUCCUUUGAUCUAUUGAUGACCACCUGUGGCGAAGGCGGUCUACCAGAACACGUCCGACGGUGAGGGAUGAAAGCUGGGGGAGCAAACCGGAUUAGAUACCCGGGUAGUCCCAGCUGUAAACUAUGCAAACUCGGUGUUGCAUUGGCUUGAUGCCAAUGCAGUGCCGCACGGAAGCCGUUAAGUUUGCCGCCUGGGGAGUACGUACGCAAGUAUGAAACUUAAAGGAAUUGGCGGGGGAGCACCAUAAGGGGUGAAGCCUGCGGUUCAAUUGGAGUCAACGCCGGGA
rnacentral:rRNA from 1 species